GUAGGUGGCAUUGUAAGCAAGACAUGAAAUCGUGUGGCUCAACCAUACGGCUAUGUCUUGAACUGCAAAGCUAGAGAGCGAGAGGGGUAGAUGGAAUUACUAGUGUAGGAGUGAAAUCCGUAGAUAUUAGUAGGAACACCGAUAGCGUAGGCAGUCUACUGGCUCGUUUCUGACACUGAGGCACGAAAGCGUGGGGAGCAAAUGGGAUUAGAUACCCCAGUAGUCCACGCCGUAAACUAUGGAUGCUAGCUGUGAACCGUAUCGACCCGGUUCGUAGCGAAGCUAACGCGUUAAGCAUCCCGCCUGUGGAGUACGAGCGCAAGCUUAAAACAUAAAGGAAUUGACGGGGACCCGCACAAGCGGUGGAGCGUGUUGUUUAAUUCGAUGCUAAACGAAGAACCUUACCCAGGCUUGACAUCCCGAGAAGUUUGUCGAAAGACAAAUGUGCUUUAUUGAACUCGGUGACAGGUGUUGCAUGGCCGUCGUCAGCUCGUGUCGUGAGAUGUUAGGUUAAGUCCUUCAACGAGCGCAACCCUUAUAGUUAGUUGAAUUUUUCUAGCUAGACUGCCCUGGUAACAGGGAGGAAGGAGGGGAUGACGCCAGGUCAGUAUUACCCUUAUGUCUGGGGCUACAAACACGCUACAAUGGCCGGUACAAAGGGCAGCCAACCCGCGAGGGGGAGCUAAUCCCACCAAAGCCGGUCUCAGUUCGGAUUGCAGGCUGAAACUCGCCUGCAUGAAGCUGGAAUCGCUAGUAAUGGUAGGUCAGCUAUACUACCGUGAAUACGUUCCCGGGUCUUGUACACACCGCCCGUCAAACCAUGAAAGUGGCCAACACCCGAAGUCCAGUUUUUUCUGGCCUAAGGUGGGGGACAUGAUUGGGGUU
rnacentral:rRNA from 1 species